UCCUUAGUGGUGUAGUGGUUAACAUCGCUGUCUCUCAACCAAUUAAGAUUGGAUAGGGCACAGCAGCCCGGGGUUCGAUUCCCCGCUAAGGAA
rnacentral:tRNA from 1 species